CCUACGGGAGGCAGCAGUAGGGAAUAUUGCUCAAUGGGGGAAACCCUGAAGCAGCAACGCCGCGUGGAGGAUGAAGGUCUUAGGAGUGUAAACCCCUUUUGUGAGAGAAGAUAAUGACGGUAUCCCACGCAUAAGCACCGGCCAACUCCUUGCCAGCAGCCGCGGUAAUACGGAGGGUGCAAGCGUUACUCGGAAUAACUGGGCGUAAAGAGUGCGUAGGCGGGAUUGGAAGUCAGAUGUGAAAUCCUGUAGCUUAACUACAGAACUGCAUUUGAAACUGUGAGUCUUGAGUGUGGGAGAGGUAGGUGGAAUGCUUGGUGUAGGGGUGAAAUCCGUAGAUAUCAAGAGGAACACUCAUUGCGAAGGCGGCGUACUGGAACAUUACUGACGCUCAUGCACGAAAGCGUGGGGAGCAAACAGGAUUAGAUACCCGAGUAGUC
rnacentral:rRNA from 1 species